UCAUUAUUGUUUGAGUUGAAGUUCUUAGGGCAUCUCUACAUAGAGCUUCACUUCGUGUUCAGACUGGCUAAUGUUGGAGCACUUGGGAGUAGUUUUGACUUACUUUUGUUUCAGGAAUAUAUCCAAGGAUUAAGAAGGCCUAUAGGUUGUGGAUCCUAGUUUCUUUUGUAAGCAAGAACACAGAAAUGAAAGUUUCGCCUUAGCAGGAGGUUGCUGCAUGCAAUCGAAAAUGUAGAUCUCAUAGAACCUAUAGCUCACCUAACUUGCUUGCCACUUGUAUAUAAUCAUACUCAAAACUUAGAUUUGCAUAAUAUCAAGAAGACCAACCAUAUUCAUCACCCAAAUUAUACUGCAUGCCUUUCCUUCGUAUACCUAACUUCCUGAUGUGACCGCAGUGACAUUGUCACUUCACCCAAAAAUUUGCCAAUAAGUCAAUGAAAAAACACUAGUAGAAUAUCUUUCUCAACUUUAACUCGUCCCAAGUGGCUUGAAUGAUAUGGGAGUGAACAACAUAUCUUCUUUCAUAUAUAUAUAUAUAUAUAUAUAUAUAUAUACAGAGAGCUUCCAUUGAGGGAUCCCUCAAAUAAGUAUUUGAGGGACACCUCUUGUAGGCACCACUCCGGAUUGUAUUUCACUAAUCCAAACCGUCUAUUUUGUAGAUA
rnacentral:lncRNA from 1 species